UGAGCUGUGGCUCCUGACCCAUUAUUAUUGUUUUUAAUUCACACAUCAUAAUUAUACAUAUUAGUGGGAUACAGUGUGAUAUUUCCAUACAUUUAUACAAUGUGUAAUGCCCACAUCCAUCCGUCCACAUUAGCAUUUCCAUCACAUCAGACACCCUACAAGCUAGAAGGGAUUGGGGCCCUAUCUUCAGCCUCCUCAAACAAAACAAUUAUCAGCCAAGAAUUUUCUAUCCAGCAAAACUAAUCAUCAUAUAGGAAGGAAAGAUACAGUCUUUUUCAGACAAACCAGUGCUGAGAGAAUUUGUGACUGUCAAGCCACCACUACAAGAACUGCUAAAAGGAGCUCUAAAUCUUGAAACAAAUCCUGGAAACAUAUCAAAAUGGAACCUCUUUAAAGCAUAAAUGGCUGUGGGUUUGUCAUAGAUAGCUUUUAUUAUUUUGAGAUACAUCCCAUCAAUACCUAAUUUAUUGAGA
rnacentral:lncRNA from 1 species